UGAUUUCUUCCUCUUUUAGCAAAGAUACGCUCUAUGUUUGUAAGAAGAUUGAACAUUGUCCAUGCUUGCAAGCCACAAGGUUCUGGGACGGAAGCCACCGUGUGCUUGCUCACAGGCCACCGCUGGCCACCGCGGGCCAACGUGUCGCCGUCAGAGGCCAUUAUGUCACCAUUUGCAAGCCUCCGGAUCACCGUUCGCCGGUCACGGCUUCCCUGCUUCUAGGCCUUUGUUUUAAGUAAGGUGCACCCACACAGAAAGCACCAAGGAAAGCAACUAUUGAAUUAUUUCGCAACUCCAUAUCUACAAAAUCCUCCAUGACUGUGUCUGAAAGAAUAUUGUUUCAGGCCCCCAUGCUCUUCUCAAAACGGUGUCUGAACCAAUUCUGGGAAGGUUUUGAAGAUAGUCACUAUGUUAACAUUAAUUGUGUUGUUGGUGAUACCAUGCUAAACUCAUUCACUAUCAAGGUACAUUUCUAAUUAGAAUGUAUAAAUUAGUGCCUAAUGAUCUUUUUUUAUUUCUUGGAGUGUAUAACUGUGUUCAGUCCAUAGCUAACAUUCUAGCAUUUAAAAAGAAAUUUGUUUGUUAAGGACAUAAAGCACCGGUUAUGACAUGUAUAACUGUUAGAGGAAAUAAUAGUAUAGCGUUUUAUGAAA